ACGUGUAGCAGUGAAAUGCGUAGAGAUGUGGAGGAAUACCGAUGGCGAAGGCAGCCCCCUGGGAUAAUACUGACGUUCAUGCUCGAAAGCGUGGGUAGCAAACAGGAUUAGAUACCCUGGUAGUCCACGCCCUAAACGAUGUCAAUUAGCUGUUGGGCAACUUGAUUGCUUAGUAGCGUAGCUAACGCGUGAAAUUGACCGCCUGGGGAGUACGGUCGCAAGAUUAAAACUCAAAGGAAUUGACGGGGACCCGCACAAGCGGUGGAUGAUGUGGAUUAAUUCGAUGCAACGCGAAGAACCUUACCUGGUCUUGACAUGUUCGGAAUCCUCCGGAGACGGAGGAGUGCCUUCGGGAGCCGUAACACAGGUGCUGCAUGGCUGUCGUCAGCUCGUGUCGUGAGAUGUUGGGUUAAGUCCCGCAACGAGCGCAACCCUUGUCAUUAGUUGCCAUCAUUAAGUUGGGCACUCUAAUGAGACUGCCGGUGACAAACCGGAGGAAGGUGGGGAUGACGUCAAGUCCUCAUGGCCCUUAUGACCAGGGCUUCACACGUCAUACAAUGGUCGGUACAGAGGGUAGCCAAGCCGCGAGGUGGAGCCAAUCUCACAAAACCGAUCGUAGUCCGGAUUGCACUCUGCAACUCGAGUGCAUGAAGUCGGAAUCGCUAGUAAUCGCAGGUCAGCAUACUGCGGUGAAUACGUUCCCGGGUCUUGUACACACCGCCCGUCACACCAUGGGAGUGGGGGAUACCAGAAGUAGGUAGGGUAACCGCAAGGAGCCCGCUUACCACGGUAUGCUUCAUGACUGGGGUGAAGUCGUAACAAGGUA
rnacentral:rRNA from 1 species